GGGGGCGUAGCGCAGUGGUUGACGCGUCGGGCGGCCAGCCCGAAGGACGCCAGUUCGAAUCUGGUCGUCCCCC
rnacentral:tRNA from 1 species